rnacentral:rRNA from 1 species
UGAGGAAUAUUGGUCAAUGGGCGGGAGCCUGAACCAGCCAAGCCGCGUGAGGGAAGAAGGUACAGCGUAUCGUAAACCUCUUUUGUCAGGGAACAAAGGCGGGGACUAGUCCCCGGAUGAGGGUACCUGAAGAAAAAGCAUCGGCUAACUCCGUGCC